rnacentral:rRNA from 1 species
UACGUAGGGUGCGAGCGUUGUCCGGAAUUAUUGGGCGUAAAGGGCUCGUAGGCGGUUUGUCGCGUCGGGAGUGAAAACCUUGGGCUUAACUCAGGGCUUGCUUUCGAUACGGGCAGACUAGAGGUAUGCAGGGGAGAACGGAAUUCCUGGUGUAGCGGUGAAAUGCGCAGAUAUCAGGAAGAACACCGGUGGCGAAGGCGGGUCUCUGGGCCGUAACUGACGCUGAGGAGCGAAAGCGUGGGGAGCGAACAGG